CUAGGUCUCUGUGCUGCCCGGCAGCCUGGUCACCUAGGUGACCGGUGGGCCGGAGGACUCCAGCUGCAGGAGCUGAGCGGCUGCCUAGGGCGAGGACAGCAGGCAGUUCCCGGGGACGCCUCUCUUUAGGCCGCCUUCUCUGCUGGUUGGCAGGGGCCCUUCUCGCCAAGGUUUCCCCAGUGCCCCGCCUUCCCUUUUAAAGGUGAGGAGACUGAGUUCGGAGACGAUGCCGGCCAUUGCCUACGCCAUGUCGGAUCCCGCAGGCGCCCGCUGUUCUGGAUUGAGUACACUCUCAGCAGCACGUCCUUCCUCUACAGCACCUUCUCCUGAGUUCCUUGUUCGCAGCUUCCAGGACCUUGGCAAAUGCUCAAGGUCAAAGUUCCCAGGGACAAAUCCCAGUGUUUACCUCAAGAUGUGUGGCUGUCAUGGGGGGGGUGGGGGGGGUGGCGACUUUUGUUUCUAGGGUCCAAACGGCAUCAGAGGCCUCCGGGAGUGAUCUUUGGACUUCACCUUGCUCCCCUGCUUGUCCAGACCACCUUUCCUACACCCCUCGCAUGUCCUUGUGUCCUCUGGUGUCCUGCUGCACGGCGCCAAAGGUCGUUUAAACACUAAAAAUAGCAGACGUAGAAAUGAGUGCCCAAGAA